CCUACGGGUGGCAGCAGUGAGGAAUAUUGGUCAAUGGACGAGAGUCUGAACCAGCCAAGUAGCGUGAAGGAUGACUGCCCUAUGGGUUGUAAACUUCUUUUAUCUGGGAAUAAAAUGUUCCACGUGUGGGUUUUUGUAUGUACCCUAUGAAUAAGGAUCGGCUAACUCCGUGCCAGCAGCAGCGGUAAUACGGAGGAUGCGAGCGUUAUCCGGAUUUAUUGGGUUUAAAGGGAGCGUAGGUGGAUUGUUAAGUCAGUUGUGAAAGUUUGCGGCUCAACCGUAGAAUUGCAGUUGAAACUGGCAGUCUUGAGUACAGGAGAGGUGGGCGGAAUGCGUGGUGUAGCGGUGAAAUGCUUAGAUAUCACGAAGAACUCCGAUUGCGAAGGCAGCUUACUGGACUGCAACUGACACUGAGGCUCGAAAGUGUGGGUAUCAAACAGGAUUAGAUACCCUUGUAGUC
rnacentral:rRNA from 1 species